CGGGUGAACCAUAGCAGCCUGGGGGCACCUUGGCCCAGAAGCCAAGCAGGGUUGUACUUGACUAAGGCUUGGACAGGGGACUACCUGAAAUCACCGGUGGCUGGA
rnacentral:rRNA from 1 species